GCUUUGAUAGCACAGUUGGGAGAGCGUUAGACUACAGAUCUAAAGGUCACUAGUUCAAUCCCGGUUCAGGGCA
rnacentral:tRNA from 1 species